GACUCUCGGCAACGGAUAUCUUGGCUCUCGCAUCGAUGAAGAACGUAGCGAAAUGCGAUACUUGGUGUGAAUUGCAGGAUCCCGUGAAUCAUCGAGUUUUUGAACGCAAGUUGCGCCCAAAGCCAUUAGGCCGAGGGCACGCCUGCCUGGGUGUCACACGUUGCGUC
rnacentral:rRNA from 1 species